rnacentral:rRNA from 1 species
AGCAGCCGCGGUAAUUCCAGCUCCAAUAGCGUAUAUUAAAGUUGUUGCAGUUAAAAAGCUCGUAGUUGAAUUUCGGAAUCAGUACGGCGGUCGUGCCUCUGGUAUGUACUGUUGUUACUGGUUUCUCCCUUCUGAAGAACUAUCCUGUCAUUAAUUUGGUGUGGUGGGGAAUCAGGACUGUUACUUUAGAAAAAAUUAGAGUGUUUAAAGCAGGCUCGCGCUUGAAUACAUUAGCAUGGAAUAAUGAAAUAGGACGUUUGAUCCUAUUUUGUUGGUUUCUAGGAUUGACGUAAUGAUUAAUAGGGAUAGUUGGGGGCAUUAGUAUUCAAUUGUCAGAGGUGAAAUUCUUGGAUUUAUUGAAGACUAACUACUGUGAAAGCAUUUGCCAAGGAUGUUUUCAUUAAUCAAGAACGAAAGUUAGGGGAUCGAAGACGAUCAGAUACCGUCGUAGUCUUAACCAUAAACUAUGCCGACUAGGGAUCGGAUGAUGUUAAUUUUUAAUGACUCAUUCGGCGCCUUA